AUCAUUACGCAGACCGACAGGUGUCGGUUAUUCACCAAUCGCUAUCCGCUAGCUUAUAUGUUUACCCUGAUGGAUGGGGUGGCUACCCGCCCUGUCCAGCUGAGAACAAUAUGGCUGUGAAGGCUCUUCUCCUAUUAAUGAUGCUCCUGGUGUCGGGAGGCCCUCUCAUCCCCACGGCCUUCGCUGCAAGAGCAGCCAACAAGCCUCCAUGUGAAAAUAUACCGCGUAAUGUUCUCGGAGGCCAUGCCAGCGCCCCCGGUGUUCGUACUGCACGUUGCGGUAGUGUGGAUCCCCCCGUUAUUUCGUUCCCACCAUGCUUCUCUUGCAAGCGCGUGAAACCGUAGAUUUCCCAGCUACUUCCUGCUCCUUUCAAAAAGGAAACCGUACGUAGAUUUCCGUGAAGGCUUAAGGAAGCACAGCAAUUGUCUUCAUCUCUCUGUCCUCAUACUUUACCAUUCACUGGUGAAUGCAGACAUGAAAAUGAAGCCCAAAGAAUUGUAAUAUCGUGGAUUUAAAUAAAAAAUUUAUCAGAUUAUAUAUAUGAGUAUAGUACUUCACGUGAAAGUAUUGAUUAUUUAA